rnacentral:rRNA from 1 species
GACGAGCGCUGGCGGCGUGCUUAACACAUGCAAGUCGAACGAUGAACCCGGAGCUUGCUCUGGGGGAUUAGUGGCGAACGGGUGAGUAACACGUGAGUAACCUGCCCUGGACUCUGGGAUAAGCGUUGGAAACGACGUCUAAUACCGGAUAGGACCUUGGAUCGCAUGAUCUGGGGUGGAAAGUUUUUUCGGUCUGGGAUGGACUCGCGGCCUAUCAGCUUGUUGGUGAGGUAAUGGCUCACCAAGGCGUCGACGGGUAGCCGGCCUGAGAGGGUGACCGGCCACACUGGGACUGAGACACGGCCCAGACUCCUACGGGAGGCAGCAGUGGGGAAUAUGGCACAAUGGGCGAAAGCCUGAUGCAGCAACGCCGCGUGCGGGAUGACGGCCGUCGGGUUGUAAACCGCUUUUAGUAGGGAAGAAGGGCUUCGGCUUGACGGUACCUGCAGAAAAAGGACCGGCUAACUACGUG